UAGGGAAUAUUGGACAAUGGGCGAAAGCCUGAUCCAGCAACGCCGCGUGUGCGAUGACGGCCUUCGGGUUGUAAAGCACUUUUAGGGGAGAUGAGAAAGGACAGUAUACCCUGAAUAAGCCUCGGCGAACUACGUGCCAGCAGCCGCGGUAAAACGUAGGAGGCUAGCGUUAUCCGGAUUUAUUGGGCGUAAAGCGAGUGCAGGCGGUUUGUGAAGUUGGAUGUGAAAGCUCGGGGCUCAACGUGGAGAGGUCGUUCGAAACUGUCAGACUAGAGAAUGGGAGAGGGAGGUGGAAUUCCGGGUGUAGUGGUGAAAUGCGUAGAUAUCCGGAGGAACACCAGUGGCGAAAGCGGCCUCCUGGACCACUUCUGACGCUAAUACGCGAAAGCUAGGGUAGCAAACG
rnacentral:rRNA from 1 species